CCUACGGGCGGCUGCAGUGGGGGAUAUUGCACAAUGGAGGAAACUCUGAUGCAGCGACGCCGCGUGAGGGAAGAAGGUUUUCUGAUUGUAAACCUCUGUCUUUAGGGGAGAAAAUGACGGUACCCCAAUAGGAAGCACCGGCUAACUACGUGCCAGCUGCCGCGGUAAUACGUAGGGAGCGAGCGUUGUCCGGAUUUACUGGGUGUAAAGGGAGCGUAGGCGGGGGAGAAAGUUGAAGGGUAAUUCUACAGGCUAAACUGGGAACUGCGUUUAAAACUUCUUGUCUUGAGUGUAGUAGAGGCAGGCGGAAUGUCGAGUGUAGCGGUGAAAUGCGUAGAUAUUAGGAGGAACACCAGUGGCGAAGGCGGCCUGCUGGGCUUUAACUGACGUUGAGGCUCGAAAGCGUGGGGAGCAAACAGGAUUAGAUACCCUAGUAGUC
rnacentral:rRNA from 1 species